GGCGACGAUCUGUAGCGGGUCUGAGAGGAUGAUCCGCCACACUGGGACUGAGACACGGCCCAGACUCCUACGGGAGGCAGCAGUGGGGAAUAUUGGACAAUGGGCGCAAGCCUGAUCCAGCCAUGCCGCGUGUGUGAAGAAGGCCUUUUGGUUGUAAAGCACUUUAAGCGAGGAGGAGGCUACUUGGAUUAAUACUCUAGGAUAGUGGACGUUACUCGCAGAAUAAGCACCGGCUAACUCUGUGCCAGCAGCCGCGGUAAUACAGAGGGUGCGAGCGUUAAUCGGAUUUACUGGGCGUAAAGCGUGCGUAGGCGGCUUCUUAAGUCGGAUGUGAAAUCCCUGAGCUUAACUUAGGAAUUGCAUUCGAUACUGGGAAGCUAGAGUAUGGGAGAGGAUGGUAGAAUUCCAGGUGUAGCGGUGA
rnacentral:rRNA from 4 species